rnacentral:rRNA from 1 species
UACGGAGGGUGCAAGCGUUAUCCGGAUUCACUGGGUUUAAAGGGUGCGUAGGAGGGUAGGUAAGUCAGUGGUGAAAUCUUCGAGCUUAACUCGGAAACUGCCGUUGAUACUAUCUAUCUUGAAUACCGUGGAGGUGAGCGGAAUAUGUCAUGUAGCGGUGAAAUGCUUAGAUAUGACAUAGAACACCGAUUGCGAAGGCAGCUCGCUACGCCUAUAUUGACUCUGAGGCACGAAAGCGUGGGGAGCAAACAGG